GAAAAUGAUCCCAGUAAUUUGGUGUUCAGUGAGCAGGGCACAUUUUGCAUUGUUUUUCCACCACUGUGUCAUUCUGAGCAAAAAUGCUUCAGGGGAACACCAUUGAACAGUACAUGCAUCUGGAAAAGGACCUUUGAGAGACAGAGCCUAGCCAAGUGAAAUCAGAUCAAACCUUCACUGGCUAACUCCAGAAUGAUGUUGAUGAAUGUGUUACAUACAGAGGAUUCCACUGAUGUCUCCUUUUGUGAUGUUGCCAUAAGUUUCUUCAUGAUAUGUGGUGAAUUUUAUUGACAUUCCUGGGAAAAUUCUUCUCUCCCUCAAUAACCACAUCUCAGAGGCAGCUGGGAGUUGGUAAUAUCUUUCAACAGAAACAGAUGCUUGAGGCUUGAUACCUAGCAAAUGUUUUCAACAACUUCUAAGAGAGAUUCUUGACAAAAUCUGCUGAAGAUUCAGCCACAAGGAGAACACCAGCUCUUUUGACCUGCUGUGAAAUGCCCAAUUCCUGGCAGUUCUGUGCAGGCUGGCACUAGAAGGGAUCUCAUCAGCAGAGCAAACUUUGUUGGGACCAUCAUAAGUCAGGGACAUGCACAGAAAGCCUGAUGCCAAACCAGCUGUCCCAGGAGCCUAGCAGCACACUGUCAAUAUAAAUUCACUUUUUCUUCAACUGUGCUGUGUGCAGGUGUGGCAAAGCUCUCUCCUCGAUGACUUUCAUCCACCUAUAUCCUCUCAUCUCUCAGCUUUACUUUUAGUUCACGAUGAAUCAGUCAGGAGGUAUUUUUGUUUACUGGCAUUUACAUUUUCUGUAACUGGCUCCUUUAUGCAUUCUGAUCUUUGCUGCUCAGCAAGCAAGCUCCAUCACAUUCACUCUGCAAUGACUAAUGACACAGUUGAUGAAAUAUCUCAGCAGAAAAUCCUCUUAGAAGGCCUGUUGCAUGCCAAACAUUCAGUCCUAUUUAACCACGAAGUAAGACAGCCAUCCAAAGGAGCUCAGCCUCAUCAUGCAGUUGAUGGAAGAAUUUAUUUGGUGAAGCUGAAAGACAACCUUGUUCUGCUCUUUCUGUCAGAAUUUUGGUAAAGAUGUAAGAUGUAGAGGAUUUGCCUCCUGUUCCAGUCCCUUUCUGUUUGUACAUCAGGUUUGGGCAGUAGUGGGGCAAUGGGUGGCCAGUGGUCCCAUUUGGUAAUUUCAACAUUUAUUUCUCUUUAUAUCUUUACAGAGGUUUGAGGUACAGCUGAGUGAAAUUUGCUUCACCAGCCUUUUCAAGUCACUCUGGAUUUACACCAGUGUAAAUGGUGUAAUUUACAAAUGGUGUAAUUUUCAGAUGGAAGUUACCCUGAAGACAGUGACAGAAGGAAACACUUGGUUUCAGCUGUUCCUAGGUUCAAAACAGCACUUAUAAUCCAAUUUCAGUUCCAACAACAGAAACCUGGAUUGAAUCAAUUAGUAAAAAUUGAGACAUUUUUAUAAUUGCACUAGUUUCUCUGAAAAUGGAUUCUGGCAAUAGGCGGGGUUCAUUUGUCCCUUAUAUGAGUCA